rnacentral:lncRNA from 1 species
AUGAGAGUUGAGAGAGAGAGAUUCUUUGAGUUUGAUAGAGAAUUCGUGAGAUUGUGAGAGACGGAGACGGAAGUGUCUUCUGUUUUGGUUUCCUUAUUUAUUUUUUAUUUUUUUUUAAUUUUAUUUUAAACAGAAUAAGUUUUUGAAAACAUUAAAGAUUUUUGCUUAAAAUUCCUAGGUUAUUAGUUAAUAAUUGUUUUUUUUUAUAUUUUCAACUUAUACCCCAUUGUAAACCCAACAGCCAAGCGGCUGGGUUUAAUUACUGGUAGUCCAACAGAUUUCUUUUUUAUUAG